GGAUCUGGAGGAGAGCAAGGAAGCAGAACGAGGGCUCAGAAUAGUGAAGAGGAAAGAACAGAGGAUGCUAGAUGCAGGGGAGGAAAGAGUGGAAGCUGAGACAGCACUGAAAGUACUAGCAGCACAAGGGUGGAUGCAAACGAAUGGGAGGGAGAUUGGAGCAGGUGAGGAAGUUCUCAUUAAGGAGAACUUAAUGAGACUAUAAAAGCCUGUUGUGAAGCCUAGCAGUUCCCAUGCAUUUCCUCUCUUGAAACUUUCCUGAGCAACUUCCUUCUAUACCAGGCCUGCCAGAUGGAGGGCAAAGCCCAAGGUGUGGAGGCUGCAGGAGGCUCACAGGGAAACCAGGUGUGGGGCCCCUGACCCAGCCCCUGUGGAUGCCUUCCACCAGCCGCCGUGGGCCCCUCACGGCGCCUGGACGGGGCGAGGCGGCUCUGAAUUAGGCCCCAUGAGGCCAUUGCCCAGCCAUGGGCUGCUUUCAAGAAGGUGAAGUUGUGGGGCUGGCCCCCACCUCCCGCCAGGACCGCGCCCUGCAUCCCCUGCUUCCCCGCAGCCAUUCUGCUUGGACGGGAACCCCAAAUUCCCCUUCUCCCCCCUCUCCCCGGUCCCUCCCGCCUCGCCCGGGCCAGGGGCCAACAUGGCGCCG